UAUGGCAGAUUAGUGCUAUGGAUUUAAAUCCCAUAAAUAAAGUUUAUAUUACUUUUAUUAAAA
rnacentral:tRNA from 1 species